rnacentral:tRNA from 1 species
GCCUGGGUGGCUCAGUCAGUCGAGCAUCCGACUUCGACGCAGGUCGUGAUCUCUCGGUUCACGGGUUCAAGCCCCGCCUCGGGCU